rnacentral:ncRNA from 1 species
UCUGUGGAUCGUCACAUCAAAUGAGAGUAGUUGUUGAUAGUAAUAUCACAACAAAAUCAGACGGGAUGAAACAGAAA